GGUCCCAGAGCAGGCCCUGUUUGUGCUGAGGCCCCGCCAGGAUUGGGUGGAUGCCUUGGUGAGGGCCAGGAGGAUUCUGGGCUUUAUGAGCACUUUAAUGCAACCAGGGCAGGCAGCACCACGGGACGGGAACUGUCCCCUGAGGCCUUAGAGAUGAAUCUCCCAGAAGUGGCAGCCGCGGCAGGGACACCAGGAUCAUGAAGGACCUGGGAGGUGAACCCGCUGCUCAGUUCCUGGCCCUCGCCCCUUAGACCCAGUCCUCGGAGCAGAACUGGGGGAAGCUGAGAUUUCUGUGGGCUGCGUGCCCACCUCCUCCCUCUUCGUUGGUCCUCCCACGCGCCCGCCCCCGAGUGGGAGCAGAGCCAUGUGAGCUGAGUUGGAGCUGCUCGCUGCCGAGAAUUGCAUCAGCCCCGCCUGGCAGGCUGGAGCGGGAGCCUGUUGCUAUGGUGACCACCAGGCUUCAAACCAGUGAGAAGGAUGAGAUGGUUGCCGGGCGAGGUUUUCUCACCAUGUGAUGCGUGUGACAGGCUGACAGGUUCGGUAGACCUGGACCCAGCCCUCCC
rnacentral:misc_RNA from 1 species